CCUACGGGAGGCAGCAGUGGGGAAUUUUGGACAAUGGGGGCAACCCUGAUCCAGCCAUGCCGCGUGCAGGAUGAAGGCCUUCGGGUUGUAAACUGCUUUUGUACGGAACGAAAAGUCUCUGGUUAAUACCUGGGGAUCAUGACGGUACCGUAAGAAUAAGCACCGGCUAACUACGUGCCAGCAGCCGCGGUAAUACGUAGGGUGCGAGCGUUAAUCGGAAUUACUGGGCGUAAAGCGUGCGCAGGCGGUCAUGCAAGACAGAGGUGAAAUCCCCGGGCUCAACCUGGGAACUGCCUUUGUGACUGCAUGGCUGGAGUGCGGCAGAGGGGGAUGGAAUUCCGCGUGUAGCAGUGAAAUGCGUAGAUAUGCGGAGGAACACCGAUGGCGAAGGCAAUCCCCUGGGCCUGCACUGACGCUCAUGCACGAAAGCGUGGGGAGC
rnacentral:rRNA from 1 species